GACGAACGCUGGCGGCGUGCUUAACACAUGCAAGUCGAACGGUGAAGCGCCUUCCUUUUUGGUGGGUGUGGAUGAGUGGCGAACGGGUGAGUAACACGUGAGUAACCUGCCCCCUUCUUCUGGAUAACCGCAUGAAAGUGUGGCUAAUACGGGAUAUUCUGGGUCUGUCGCAUGAUGGGUCUGGGAAAGAUUUUGUUUCGGUGGGGGAUGGGCUCGCGGCCUAUCAGCUUGUUGGUGGGGUGAUGGCCUACCAAGGCGGUGACGGGUAGCCGGCCUGAGAGGGUGGACGGUCACACUGGGACGGAGACACGGCCCAGACUCCUACGGGAGGCAGCAGUGGGGAAUAUUGCACAAUGGGCGGAAGGCUGAUGCAGCGACGCCGCGUGAGGGAUGGAGGCCUGCGGGUUGUGAACCUCUUUCGCCAGUGAAGCAGGCCUGCCUCGUUUGUGGGUGGGUUGACGGUAGCUGGAUAAGAAGCGCCGGCUAACUACGUG
rnacentral:rRNA from 1 species